rnacentral:tRNA from 1 species
UCCCUAUUAGCCCAGCUGCUAAAGAAUCUGCCUGCAAUGCAGGAGACCCUGGUUCAAUUCCUGGAUUGGGAA